rnacentral:lncRNA from 1 species
AUUGCAGUUCCACUCGGAUUAGACGAGGGAAAACAUACUAACCCAAAAUCUACGGACCAAAACUCACCGGGAUCAACACCAUCCUAUAACCUGCGGACAAAGACAGUCCCGCGACCAGGAUUAUCAAAUCCCAAAUUACCAACUCUGAGAUAAAAAUUCUCCACUCAGAAACUUUAGAUACACUCUACGUUAAUCCGCAUACCAGUAACCGACUCGACUACGUCGAAGGUUCACGUAGAAGAGAUACACCAC